rnacentral:rRNA from 1 species
UACGGGGGGGGCAAGCGUUGCUCGGAAUCACUGGGCGUAAAGGGCGCGUAGGCGGCCAUUCAAGUCAGGGGUGAAAGCCUGUGGCUCAACCACAGAAUUGCCUUUGAUACUGUUUGGCUAGAGACCGGAAGAGGUAAGUGGAACUGCGAGUGUAGAGGUGAAAUUCGUAGAUAUUCGCAAGAACACCAGUGGCGAAGGCGGCUUACUGGUCCGGUUCUGACGCUGAGGCGCGAAAGCGUGGGGAGCAAACAGG